CUCCAUCCAUGUUGCUGCAAAUUGCGCUUGUGAGACCUGGGAAGAUUUGGAAAACACUAUUUUUCACUUUACUAUGACAAGUAGGAUGAACACACUAGUAAUUAGACAAAAAAAAUGGUCAUCGGGAGAAUACAAAGAUCUGGAUUUUUUGAAUGAAAAAGAAGCCUUCUGCAAAAGAAUGCAUUUUGAGAAACGUUUCAUGUGCAGAUUAUGGCCAAUUGAAGAUACAUUGAGAUGGACAUUUUUUUAAGAACAUGGGCUUUGUUGACAUGGGGACUCAAUGCUGAGUCUACAUCUACAUGGAAACUUCAAUACAUCUGCUAUCAAAGUGCUGAAUUGUGUCAUGAUGCAAAAUAUCUAGAUUCAGCCAUGAGACACUUUGCAUGUGAUCAGGAAGUGUGGAGACAAAUGUUACUGUAAUGGCCGGCAAGUGCUUGGGUUUGGCAGGUUGAGAUUUCACAGCGACCUAUGAACUUCUUGUGGGAACCAUCCAUAUCACCGCUGGAGGGAAAAUCCUGUGUUACCUGAAAUAGUACCUGAUGUGCAGGCAGCCCUGGGUGAGGCAUCCUCAGACCAAGUGCAGGGUAAGUGAUUAUCAGGCUUUUCUGCCC